CUAAUUUAGUUUAUUAAAAUGUUACUUUGUGGAUGUAAAGAUAAGUCAUUCUUAAUUGGUUU
rnacentral:tRNA from 1 species